CAGCAGUCCUCAAGUUCCUCAAGAUGGACUGUGGUGGUUGUUUUCUUCUCAUCAAGACUUCCUGUGCCAUGCAGGAAGUGACAACAUUGAAAUAACAUCUACUGACGUGUGAUUUCCUCGGCUAUGCUACAGCACGUGGACCUUGUGGACCUCACAAGUAACACAGGAAGAAGCAAUCCACUAACGGCCACAGAUCAACAGAUGAGGUCUCUCUCUCGGUGGGAGCAGCAGUCGCCGAUUAUUGAUGACCUCAUUAGAAUACCGCCUGUUCUGGCUCGCUUUGAAGGACUUCUCAGGACGACAACAACCACGAAACGAUGAUACGGAGCCAAAGAGGCGCUUCCUAACGGCCGGGAACGGAAGCUUUCAGUUCCUCCUUUUUCCAACGGUUUCCAACGGAAUAUCCAGUCGGUUAGUCGUCACAGACUGGUGUGUUUAACGAUGUUUAAUUAUAAGAUGUCACACUGUUGAUGCUUGAGCCACAGGUGCUGCCUCCAUCUUGGAAGAACAAAAGCCUCAUUGAGCAAUCAUGUGGCAUAAUUAAAGUGUCUCAUGAA